AGAAAGGAGUUUUGUAAUCUGAGUGCUUUCUCUUUGGUUGUAAUUGGAAGCAGUUUAGGAAUAAUCUCAAAGCCUCAAGUACAUAUUUAUACCUUGGUCAAAACAAUGAGUAGUAUAUUCUUAAAAAAAACAGCAUACCACAGUGGUGCAGCCACUUCAAUAUUCAUAGCAGCAUAAUUCACAAUUGCUAAACUGUGGAAUCAACCUAGACGCCCUUCAAUAGAUGAAUGGAUAAAAGAAACUGUAGUACAUAUUCACAAUGGAAUAUUACUCGACAUUAAAAGAGAAUAAAAUUAUGGCAUCUGCAGGUAAAUGAAUGGAGCUGGAGAGUAUCAUUUGAAGUGAAAUAAGCCAAUUACACAAAUCCAGAAACCAAAUGUUCCUCUGAUAAGUGGAUGCUAAUCCAUAUGCAGGGCAUGGAAUGAGUGGAGGAAUUUUGGAUAGGGCAAAGGGGAGGAGGAGGGACAAGGAGAUAAGAAAGAUGAUGAAAUGAGGUGGACAUCAUUACCCUAGGUAUAUGUAUGAUAGCACGAAUGGUGAGACUACUCUGUGUACAGAGAAAUGAAAAAUUAUGCUCCAUUUGUGUACAAUGAAUCAACAAGCUUUCUACUGUCAUGUGUGACUGAUUACAACUAACAAUAAAAGAAAAACAGGUUGUAACAUUAUUGUACAAUGGUUAGUUUUCAGUCACACCACUCUAACUGUGCUAAAAAUUGGUUGAUUUUUCAAUGUACGUAUCCUCCCAAUACCAUGUUAUUUUGGAAAAGAAGAUUAUUGGCAAAGAUGUGAGUGGUGGUGGGUG
rnacentral:lncRNA from 1 species